rnacentral:lncRNA from 1 species
GGCUGGUGCUGGUUUCUCAGACUGGGGCUGGGGCUUUAGGCCCUGGGGCCGGUGUAGGCCUCUCUGGCUGUGACUUCAGGCCCUUGGGCCGGUGCUGGCCGUGCUGGUUGGGGCUUCAGGUGCCGGCCUCUCUAAGUUUGGCUGUGGCUUUAAGCCCCUGCACUGUUUCAAGCCUUUCAAGCUGUGCCUUUAGUCCCCAGGGCCUUUUUUGGCCUGCCUGGCUGUGGCUUUGGCUUUAAGCCCCAUGGCCGGCGUCAGCCUCUCAGGCUGUGGCUUUAGGGCCUGGGCUCAGUGCUGGCCUCUUUUUUUGUGGCUUUAGAC